UACGAAAGGGGAUAACGUUGUUCGGAAUUACUGGGCGUAAAGCGCACGUAGGCGGCACUGUACGUUGGGGGUGAAAUCCCGGAGCUCAACUCCGGAACUGCCUUCAAGACUGCAGAGCUGGAGGAUGCGUGAGGUGAGUGGAAUUCCGAGUGUAGAGGUGAAAUUCGUAGAUAUUCGUAAGAACAUCAGUGGAGAAGGCGGCUCACUGGCGGAUUUCUGACGCUGAGUUGAUAAAGUGUGGGGAGCAAACAGG
rnacentral:rRNA from 1 species